rnacentral:rRNA from 1 species
GGGAAAGUGAAUAAUUAUUGGGUUAACAGUCAAAUUUAAUUUUCCAUUAAACUUAAAAUUUUUAGGUGAAAUUUUAAUUUUAUUUUAAUAGGUUUUAUUGAAUCUGUGAAAUUUAUUUUAUAAACAAGGAUUAGAUACCCUUUUAUUUUAAAUGUAAAUAUUUAACCCGGGUAGUAAUAGUUAUGUUCUUGAAACCCAAAGAAUUUGGCCGGUAUUUUAUUCUUUUUAGAGGAACCUGUCCUGUAAUUGAUAGUCCACGAUAGAUAAUUACUUAUUCUUGUAUUCAUUUUGUAUACCUCCGUCAUCAGAGUAUCUUUUUAGAGAUAAUAUUCAAAUAAUACAAAAUAUAAUAUGUCAGGUCAAGGUGCAAUUUAUGAAUAAGUAGAGAUGGGUUACAAUAAAUUUAUUUAUACGGAUUUAAGGUUUUAUGAACUUAAUGAAGGUGGAUUUAAAAGUAAAAUUAAUUCUUUAUCAAUUUGAUUUUAGCUCUAAAAUAUGCACACAUCGCCCGUCGCUCUUAUUUUAAAAUAAGAUAAGUCGUAACAUAGUAGGUGUACUGGAAGGUGUACCUAGAAAGGUA